CUAUCAUCGAGAAAGGUGGAGGGACUGGCCCUGAGAAGCCUUGGCAACCGUCAUUCCUGUAAUGAUUGGUGCCAAUUCCAUCCUGGCAGGGACGCCGGGAAAGAUGACGG
rnacentral:ncRNA from 2 species